AUGUGUUAUGGAUAUUUGUGUGCAUAUAUACAUAUGUAUGAAUGUGUGUGCACACACGUGUAUGUUAAGUAAUUACUGUAAAAUGAAGAUACCUGUCAGUUGGUGUCAUCUGAGACUUUAGUGAAAUUGAUUGAAAGACACUCCAUUAGUUACUGAUUUGAGACAACUACUUUGUCAAUCUUGUUGGGUAGCUAUAGGAAGAUUAGCGUGUGUUUGUGUGUGUGUGUAUAUAUAUAUAUAUAUAUUCACACGAUAGUUU